AUACCCGCUGAACUUAAGCAUAUCAAUAAGCGGAGGAAAAGAAACCAACAGGGAUUGCCCCAGUAACGGCGAGUGAAGCGGCAUCAGCUCAAAUUUGAAAUCUGGCGUCUUCGGCGUCCGAGUUGUAAUUUGUAGAGAGUGUCUCGGGUGGAGCACCGGUCCAAGUCCCUUGGAACAGGAUAUCAUAGAGGGUGAGAAUCCCGUAUCCGGCCGGCCCCCUCCCCCGCUGUGAGGCCUCUUCGACGAGUCGAGUUGUUUGGGAAUGCAGCUCUAAAUUGGAGGUAAAUUCCUUCUAAAGCUAAAUACUGGCCAGAGACCGAUAGCGCACAAGUAGAGUGAUCGAAAGAUGAAAAGCACUUUGAAAAGAGAGUCAAACAGUACGUGAAAUUGUUGAAAGGGAAGCGUAUGCGGCCAGACUUGUCCCCAGUUGCUCAGCCCGUCUUUUGGCGGGUGUACUCUUCUGGAGCCAGGCCAGCAUCGGUUUGGGCGGUCGGAUAAAGAUGUCAGGAAUGUGGCCCCCCUCGGGGGGUGUUAUAGCCUGGCGUGCAAUGCGAUCAGCCCGGACCGAGGCCCGCGUUCUGCUAGGAUGCUGGCGUAAUGGCCGUAUACGGCCCGUCUUG
rnacentral:rRNA from 2 species